GGGAUGAGCUGUGGAUAGGGGUGAAAGGCCAAUCAAACUUCGUGAUAGCUGGUUCUCUCCGAAAUGCAUUUAGGUGCAGCGUUGCGUGUUUCUUGCCGGAGGUAGAGCUACUGGAUGGCCGAUGGGCCCUAAAAGGUUACUGACGUCAGCCAAACUCCGAAUGCCGGUAAGUGAGAGCGCAGCAGUGAGACUGUGGGGGAUAAGCUUCAUAGUCGAGAGGGAAACAGCCCAGAUCGCCGGCUAAGGUCCCCAAGUCGUGGCUAAGUGGGAAAGGAUGUGGGACUCCCAAAACAACCAGGAGGUUGGCUUAGAAGCAGCCAUCCUUGAAAGAGUGCGUAAUAGCUCACUGGUCAAGUGAUUCCGCGCCGACAAUGUAGCGGGGCUCAAGUACACCGCCGAAACCGUGGCAUUCAGUUUUGCUGGAUGGGUAGGGGAGCGUCGUUCACGAGGUGAAGCCAGCGGGUAACUUCUGGUGGAUUGUGGACGAGUGAGAAUGCAGGCAUGAGUAGCGAAAGACGGGUGAGAAACCCGUCCGCCGGAUGACUAAGGGUUCCAGGGUCAAGCUAAUCUGCCCUGGGUAAGUCGGGACCUAAGGCGAGGCCGUCAGGCGUAGUCGAUGGACAACGGGUUGAUAUUCCCGUACCGGCGAAGAACCGCCCAAGUCAAUCCAGUAAUGCUAAGCACCCGAAUACCACGGGUUCUCCUUUGGGAGUUUCUGUGGGGCUAGCGUGCGACCCUAUGCUGGUGCGGCUAACGUAUUAACAGGUGUGACGCAGGAAGGUAGCCUCCGCGGGGCGAUGGUUGUCCCCGUCUAAGGAUGUAGGGCGAACGAUAGGCAAAUCCGUCGUUCACAUGCCUGAGAUCUGAUGGUGAGUCCGUAUGGACGAAGAGGGUGAUCCUAUGCUGCCGAGAAAAGCAUCGACGUGAGGUUCUAGCCGCCCGUACCCUAAACCGACUCAGGUGGUCAGGUAGAGAAUACCAAGGAGAUCGAGAGAAUCAUGGUUAAGGAACUCGGCAAAAUGCCCCCGUAACUUCGGGAGAAGGGGGGCCUGAGGCGUGAAGAGAUUUACUCUCCGAGCGUUUGAAGGCCGCAGAGACCAGUGGGAAGCGACUGUUUACUAAAAACACAGGUCCGUGCGAAGUCGUAAGACGCUGUAU
rnacentral:rRNA from 1 species